UUCAUUUUGAAAUUCGAGCCC
rnacentral:piRNA from 1 species